rnacentral:rRNA from 1 species
UACGUAGGGGGCUAGCGUUGUCCGGAUUUAUUGGGCGUAAAGAGCGUGUAGGCGGCCAGGUAGGUCUGCUGUGAAAACUCGAGGCUCAACCUCGAGACGUCGGCGGAAACCAUCUGGCUAGAGUCCGGAAGAGGAGAGUGGAAUUCCUGGUGUAGCGGUGAAAUGCGCAGAUAUCAGGAGGAACACCAAUUGCGAAGGCAGCUCGCUGGGACGUGACUGACGCUGAGACGCGAAAGCGUGGGGAGCGAACAGG